GGGGACGUGGCCGAGUGGUCUAAGGCACCUCACUGUUAAUGAGGCGGCAGAGGUGGGGUACAUCCACCAAAGCCCGUAGGUUCGAAUCCUAUCGUCCCCGCCA
rnacentral:tRNA from 1 species